AGGUGGCAUUACAUCAUUUCUUGCUGAGUAUUCAUGCUGUUGUACUGGAAGUUAUUAUCAUAUAAUACCUUAUGUGGUGCGUUUUAUAUUUAUUAUACUUGAUUAUUUAUAUAUAUAAGUGAGAAGUUAUUAAUAUUCUGUAAGUUGUGAUUGAGAUGUAAGAGUAAACUAGAUUUUCAUCCCCCUUGAAAAGGCGGGUAUAUUUUUUGUUUACGUUUUUUUUUGAGAAAUUUAAUAUUUAUAUUUAUGUUAAUUUUAUAUUUAUGAUAUAGA
rnacentral:lncRNA from 1 species